rnacentral:rRNA from 1 species
CAAUAGCGUAUAUUAAAGUUGUUGCAGUUAAAAAGCUCGUAGUUGGAUUUCGGGGCAGCCUGGCUGGUCCGCCGCAAGGCGAGUACUGGUCAGCCGCCCUUCCUCUCGAAAGCCCCGACUGCUCUUCGUUGCAGUGGUCGGGUAGUUCGGGACGUUUACUUUGAAAAAAUUAGAGUGUUCAAGGCAGGCCUACGCCUGAAUACAUUAGCAUGGAAUAAUGGAAGAGGACCUCGGUCCUAUUUUGUUGGUUUCCAGGGCCGAAGUAAUGAUUAAGAGGGACAGUUGGGGGCAUUCGUAUUUAAUUGUCAGAGGUGAAAUUCUCAGAUUUAUGAAAGACGAACAACUGCGAAAGCAUUUGCCAAGGAUGUUUUCAUUAA